rnacentral:rRNA from 1 species
GUCUAUCUUGCAGAAAUGUGCGCAAAGGCACCAAUAAUCGUCAAGAUUCUGUCUAGGUGGUUAUCGAGAAGAGUGAAGAAAAGAAGAGAAGGAAGAAGAUACUUGAGUGAGAUGAAAAGAAGUAACCAGGGGGCUUGCUAUAGAAGAGAGGGGAUCUACUUCGGCAGGAAGAAGACAGAAGGAGGGCAAAAGGGCAAAGUGGCAGAUCUGAUCGAGAGGGGGUCAAAAUCCCUAGGGUGGCCUUCGAUCCCCUCGGGCCUGGCAUCUCUUCUCCUCUCCCUCACCCCUUCUUCUCCACCUCCGGCCGCCGCCGCGGCCAGGCCGGCGUGGCGGCGCGCCACAACGCCUUCCAGCCAUCCAGCCACCGCACACCAUAGCGCCACCACAUCAUCCUCCAUUACCAGCUCCUCCCACCACACCGACCAUCUCCAUCUACCACUUCCUCCAUCACCAUCUAGAGCCACACACCGCCAUCCACCUCGCGCGCCCUACCAGACUAGGGGUCACGCUUGUCUGGUGCCCCACGUGAUCCCUUUCCUUCUUUCUGCUGCUUGCUCCUUCUCCUCCUUCCUCCUUGCCUGCUGCUGCUGCUCCUUCUUCUUCUCCAUCACGAAACUGCUGCCCUUCUCUUGUUGCGCCCCUACUGCAUCUUCUCCUUCUUGCUGCGCUCCUGCUGCUCCUUCUAUGUUCACCUACCGCUACUGCUUUUUCUCUCUGCCUUGCUGCUGCUGUCCUCAACCUACUACUGGUGCUCUCUUCUUUCCCACGCCUCUUGCUACUGUCUUCUUCUCUGAACCCAAACUGCUGCUGCUUCUCUUCUCUCUUUACUUCUUGCAAAAUUCUGUAAACUGCUAGGUGAACUUGUGUACUGUUCUGAACA